AACAUAAUGUUCCUCAUGUAAUAUGUAGAUUAAUGAUACAAAAAAAAAAAACCAAUGUGGUACUGGCAUAAGGACAUAUGCAUAGACUGAUAGGAAAUAACAGCCCCAAAAGAAACUGUCACAUAAAUGGUCAGUUGGUUUUUGACAGGGGAGCCAACCAUUCAAAGAGAAAAGGAGUCUUUUCAAUAAAGCAUUGAGAACACUGGAUAUCCACAUGGAAAAGAAGUUGAACCCUUACCUUAUACAAAAAUGAACUCAAAUCUAAACUUAAAACAAACAUAAACUUAAGUGCUAAAACUAUAAACCCCUUUCAAGAAAACAAGGCUAAUCUUUAUGACAUUGGACUUGGCAGAGUGAUUUCUUGAAUUUGACAUCAAAAGCACAGGGAAGAAAAGAAAAAAAUAGGUAAAUUACACUUCAUGAAAUUAAAAACUUUUAUGCAUCAAAGGACACUACCAACAAUGGAAAGAAACAAUUUCCAGAAGAAAAUACUUGGAAGUCAUAUUAUCUGAAAAGAGAUUGAUAUCCCAAAUAUAUAGAGAACUCCCACAACUCAACAACAAAAAGUCAACUGGCAAAGGAAUUGAAUAGACAUUUCUCUGAAGAGUGGAUACGAAUGGAAAAAGCACCAUAAGAAGAUGUUCAGCAUCAUUAAUCAUUAAGAGAAUGUAAAUCAAAACCACAGUGAGAUACCACUUCACACUGAUAAGGAUGGCUAUGAUCCAAAGCACUAAAGAUAACAAAUAUUUGCCAGGAUGUGGAGAAAUUGGAACACUUGAGCAUUGCUGAUGGGAAUAUAAAAUGGCACAGCUACUGUGGAGAACAGUUUGGCCGCUCCUCAGAAAGUUUAAUGUUGUGUUGUUAUGUGAUCCAGCAAUUCUAUUUCUAGGUCUGUGUUUGUAACACGAAUUUAGCAGUUGUACCCACAUGUUCAUAGCAGCAUUAUUUGCAAUUGUCAAAAGUCGGAAACAACUCAUGUCCAUUAAAAAAUGAAUGGAUGGACAAAAUGUGGUCUAUAGUACACAGAAUGGAGUAUUUCAGCCAUAAAAGGAAAUGAAAUUCUGAUGCAUACUACAACAUGAAUGAACCUUGAAAACAUUAUGCUAAGUGAACUAAGUAAAACACAAAAGGACAAAGAUACUGUGUGAUUCCACUUAAAUGAGGUAUCCAAAGUAGGCACAUUCUUAGAGACAGAAGGUAGAUGGAGGUUACAAAGGGCAGGGGAGGGAAUGAGGAAUUAGUGUGUAAUGGGUACAGAGUUACUGUUUGGGAUAAUGAAAGAAAGUUCUGGAAAUGGAUAGUGAUGAUAGUUGCACAGUACCCUGAAUGUACUUAAUGCCACUGAAUUAUAGGCUUAAAAAUGGGUAAUAUGGUAAAGUCAUGUAUAUAUAAGUUAUAUACAUAUUAUGUAUAAUAAACAUUUGCUUCUUCACUUAAGGCACUUUCAGCCUAAGUGAGCAUUGUGGAAAAAACAUACCACAAAACAGUAAGUAUGCCAAGAAAUCCAUUUAGUUGUGUUUUUCCAGGAAAAAAAUGGGUUUUCAUUAGGAGUUUUAAUAGCUGAUUUUCAUUGGAGAGGAAUACUUUGCAAGAAUUUAGUGUUUUAACACCUGAAAUUGUUUUUUUUCCCUCAAGCAUAUAGCAUCAACUCACAUGAAAAAUCACCUACUUUAGUAAAUGGAGCAAGUUAAUUGACAGUAAACAAAAUGUAUGUGUUUUAAUUUGUAAUGUUCCGCUUAGAAACCUCUCUUCUAGUAAGAGCAUUCUCUGUGAACUAUUGCACUUUUGUUUUACUCUCCACAGAAGAAUGCAGACUUCCCUAAUAAAUACUUUGAAAUGCAUUAAUUUAUAAGUGUUGUAUUUGUUAAAUUUGGAAUAAAAUGUAUCUUUAAAAGUUCUGAAAAAUGGGCAGUGGUGAUAGUUUCCUGUUUUGAAUGUACUUGAUGCCUCUCACUUGUAUGCUUAAAAAUUGUUUUAACCAUAAUGUUAUGUAUAAUUUACCACAUUGCAAAAAAAAACUAAAAUCUAGACCUUUGGUAUGAGCUAGAAAAAAGUUUAUACUCUUAAUUAAAAUUACAUUCUUUAAAAAAUAUUCUAAAUUUUAGUUUAUGUUGGAAUAAAUGAAAUUGUCAAAAACAUGAUAGAGUUGGAAUGAUGGUUCUCACCUGGGUCUUGGUUCUCCCCCAACUGCAGUGUGUAAUGCAUCUUGAAGACCGGCUACAGGAGCUAUACUUUAAGAGCAAAAUGCUGUCCGAGUACCUGAGGGGACAGAUGCGUGUUCAUGUCAAGGAGCUGGGAGUGGUUCUAGGGAUUGAAUCCAGUGAUCUUCCUCUUCUGGCUGCUGUAGCAAGCACUCACUCCCCAUAUGUUGCUCAGAUACUCCUUUAACAUAAAGGUUGUUAGAAAUUAACUUUGGUAGAAAGUUAAGCAGAAACCAACGAAGAAGAUACAACAUGCAUUUAUGGCAUUUCUUUUCCCUGUUAGAUUUUGAUCUGAAUGACUCAGUCACCUGGGUACAUUGCACUGCAUAUUGUGUUAUCAUUGAUGGCUUUUUCCUUUGACUAGACUUUUGGGGUGGUGGUAGAUUUUAACCCAGUAAAACUAAAACAGCAUAAAUAAUUUUGGGGAAAGCACUUGAAGAAGCCAAAGUGUAACUUAGAAAUUUCUACACAAUGAAUAACAUUGAGGAAUUUCACAUGCUCACUAAUGAUGUUGCCACAACUCAUAAAUCACAACAGAUACCUAAUGAUUGUAUGGCUGAGAAAUAGUCAUUUCAUUAGUUUUUUAUUCUUUAUUUCUAAGGUACAGAGUUGUAUAAAACUUUGUUUUAUUUUCAAUUCAAAAUAGUUAAUUUCUGGGUAUUUCUCAAAGUAUUUUAAAUAGCCUAUUAAUUCUAAUAAACUCAGAAUAGUGAGUGUAAAUGUGUGUUAUGUUAUCCACCCAAGUGUACAUAUGUACCUAUUUUUUGAAAAAACAGAUAAAAAUACAAGAUUGGUAAACAUGCAUUUUUAAAAAUAAUGUUUUCAACUAGUAUUAAUUGUAUAUAAUGUUGAAAUGUUACUUUCUGGUGAUUUUUCUGCUUCACAUACCCUUAAAAUAUAAGUAAAAGCCAAUCUUUUUUAAAGGCUGAGGAAUGUAGAUUCCCAAAAUAAUAAUACUUUAUACCAUGUCUUUUGUUUAUAAGAUAAUUCUUAUUAAUAUUUACAUAUUCUCAUCUAACUUAAUAAAUGAAAAUUAGGAUUAAAAAUUGCACCAAAGCAUUGGCAAAAAUAAUACUAUUUUCUUUAAAAGUGCUCAGGUAGCCGAGGCCCUUGCUUUCGGUAUCAGCCCUUCUUGAACCCAUAGGAAUUGUUUCACUACUUCAUAAUAUUUAAUUUACUCUAAUAGAACUCAUUAACUCUUAAAAUUAUUAUUUUUUUCUAAUAGCCCCUCCCAGAAGCUAGAUAUUUCAAAGAUUUCUACUUUUCAGUUAUUAUUUUUGUAUAUACCAUAGAGUGUUGAUUGUGAGAAAAGCUAAUGUGGAACCAAACUCUUGUAAGUAAUGUAAAUAAGAAAGGUGGGUAAGUCAAAGUUUUCAAUAUGCUGUACUACCUCAGUUUACUUGAAUACUACAUUAUAGUUUAUUCUUUACUUACCUAAGGUACUUUUAAUGCUAGAAGUGAACUUUUGUUUCUGCUUUCAUGAACUGUUUUCAUCAUAACUGAUUGUCAGCUUAAAAAAAAGAAAACUUACUGCUUAUUCUGUUACUAGAUACAUUUACUGUAUAAUAAACACAUCUAUUCUUGCUGUUUGAAUUUUCAGUAAUUAAGGAAGAUUUGUGUGGUUUGUUUAGUCUUUGACCUUGAAUUUAUAGCACUGGGUCACAUUUUGCCUUGCUCUUUAUGUAUUCAAGAAAUCUCCAGCCAGAAUAGAGGUUGUGUUUUAAUGGAAUGUAAAUCUGAAAUUGGUGUGCCUGCAAUCACUUCGGCUCUUUUGUCCUAUAAGUUAGACCCAGUUAGUACCUAAGUUUCCCAUAAAUGACUUGCUGCCAGAGAGUGUUGAUGAAUAUAUUUUCUCUGGCUUAUUUUAUUCCAUUAAUUAAUGAAAUUCUUCUCUUACAUUGUUAGGAAUUCUAUGAAGCAAUCUCUUUGCCAGAAUUCAGAAUAUAGAAAAGUUUGUAUGUGGGCCAUUGUACAUUAUUUUUUAAACUGAGUUCAGAGGGAUACAUAGCAGGUAGAUAAUGUCUGUUUUUGCUUGUUUUCUUUUUUUAAUCAAGCAUCAAACUAUUCACAGCCCUAUCUAUUUGAAAUCUAAUAAUUACCAUUUAGGAAGUCUAGUCUUCUAUAAAUGGGUGACUCAUGCUACUGUUUUUCUUAAAACUAACUUUUGCUUGGAAGAAAAAGGCCUAUAGUUUCUUACAGAAUCAUUAAUCUUAUAGGAUUCCUGAGUUUUGUAAUUCCCAACCCUUCUGUAAUUUCUGCUCCCUUUAUUAUAGUCAUUCUUCCCUUACAUAAAGCCCAAGGAAUGAGCUGCUACUUCUUCAAAGUGUGGUCAUUAGGAUGAAGGAAAAAAGAGUUUUGGCUUGUUCAAAAUAAAUUUUCAACUUCUUAUGGUACAGACAAAUGUGUUUUACGUAUUUAAAAAAGCUGUUUGUUGCAACAGGAAAUGAAAAAGGGAUCUUUUAUGUUACAGAUUUAAAGCUAGUAUUUCCUUACACAUAAACUAAUUGGUUUGAUAUUGAAUAUCCCUGGCUUUUAUUAAUAUGUCUUAAUUUGAGUUUGAAAAUGUUGGAUGUGCAAUAAACAUAUUAACAGAUUUCAUUCUGUUGCAAUUGCCAUACACUGGGGAUGAUCACUUUAAGAAAGAUUUCACACAAUGCCUACUUUUGGUAGAUAUCAUGAGACUUCUUUCUCUAAGUUAUUUAGAUGGUGGGAUAUGUAAAAUGUACAUACUUGAUCCUUGUUCUGUAUACAUUUCUCAAGUGUACACCUGUAUUAUAAUAACCUCCCAGUUCUAGGGGAAAUUUGUGCAAUAAAUACACAUGUCAUUUUAA